rnacentral:rRNA from 1 species
UAAGGAAUAUUGGUCAAUGGACGCAAGUCUGAACCAGCCAAGUAGCGUGCAGGAUGACGGCCCUAUGGGUUGUAAACUGCUUUUAUAUGGGGAUAAAGUGGGGAACGUGUUCCCUUUUGCAGGUACCAUAUGAAUAAGGACCGGCUAAUUCCGUGCCAGCAGCCGCGGUAAUACGGAAGGUUCGGGCGUUAUCCGGAUUUAUUGGGUUUAAAGGGAGCGUAGGCCGUUUGGUAAGCGUGUUGUGAAAUGUAGGAGCUCAACUUCUAGAUUGCAGCGCGAACUGUCAGACUUGAGUGCGCACAACGUAGGCGGAAUUCAUGGUGUAGCGGUGAAAUGCUUAGAUAUCAUGAAGAACUCCGAUUACGAAGGCAGCUUACGGGGGCGCAACUGACGCUGAAGCUCGAAGGUGCGGGUAUCGAACAGG